GCGGCUGUAGGAGAUGGUCAGAUUCUCGGGUUGGGAGAUCGGAUCAGGUCCGGUCGGCGAACGGUGUUCGCCUGCGGUGGCUGUUUCACCGGCGAACGGAGGGGGGUUUGACGGAUGAGCCAAUUUCAGCGACGACGGGUUGGCUGUCGUCGUUGAUCGGAUGGAGAAGCGGUGAAGGGCAAAGGCGGCGGCUAUGGCUGCUCCAACGUCAG
rnacentral:lncRNA from 1 species